AAAAUAAAAAAUUUUAGCUGUGAAUGCCAAUUGAUUGGCAUUUUUAUUACGAGCUCAACAAGGUAUGACAUUCCAUUUUUGGAGCAUUACUUUUCUUGUUUCGCCCAAAAAACUGAAUAUUUUUAGGUGUAGAAAAAUGAUCUUAGUUUUUUGGGGAAAAUCCGAUUUUUUUCCUUUAGCUUUUUUGGUGUAACUUGGUCAAAAAUUGCCCAAAACCUACGGAACACACUGUUUUGGGCAGCUAGCAAGCUAGACAAUUGAUCCAAGUCAUUUUCUGGCUGAUUCUAAGAACUUUAAAUUUUUUCAAUUUUCCAUUUUUUACAAGGGGUACCAUCGUCUUUUUUUGCGAAAACUGGUCCAAAAUAAAAAAUUUUAGCUGUGAAUGCCAAUUGAUUGGGAUUUUUAUUACGAGCUCAACAAGGUAUGACAUUCCAUUUUUGGAGCAUUACUUUUCUUGUUUCGCCCAAAAAACUGAAUAUUUUUAGGUGUAGAAAAAUGAUCUUAGUUUUUUGGGGAAAAUCCGAUUUUUUUCCUUUAGCUUUUUUGGUGUAACUUGGUCAAAAAUUGCCCAAAACCUACGGAACACACUGUUUUGGGCAGCUAGCAAGCUAGACAAUUGAUCCAAGUCAUUUUCUGGCUGAUUCUAAGAACUUUAAAUUUUUUCAAUUUUCCAUUUUUUACAAGGGGUACCAUCGUCUUUUUUUGCGAAAACUGGUCCAAAAUAAAAAAUUUUAGCUGUGAAUGCCAAUUGAUUGGGAUUUUUAUUACGAGCUCAACAAGGUAUGACAUUCCAUUUUUGGAGCAUUACUUUUCUUGUUUCGCCCAAAAAACUGAAUAUUUUUAGGUGUAGAAAAAUGAUCUUAGUUUUUUGGCGAAAAUCCGAUUUUUUUCCUUUAGCUUUUUUGGUGUAAGUUGGUCAAAAAUUGCUAGUAAC